rnacentral:rRNA from 1 species
CCUACGGGAGGCUGCAGUGGGGAAUAUUGGACAAUGGGGGCAACCCUGAUCCAGCCAUGCCGCGUGUGUGAAGAAGGCCCUCGGGUUGUAAAGCACUUUCAGUGAGGAAGAACGCCUGGUGGUUAAUACCCAUCAGGAAAGACAUCACUCACAGAAGAAGCACCGGCUAACUCCGUGCCAGCAGCCGCGGUAAUACGGAGGGUGCGAGCGUUAAUCGGAAUUACUGGGCGUAAAGCGCGCGUAGGUGGCUUGAUAAGCCGGUUGUGAAAGCCCCGGGCUCAACCUGGGAACGGCAUCCGGAACUGUCAAGCUAGAGUGCAGGAGAGGAAGGUAGAAUUCCCGGUGUGGCGGUGAAAUGCGUAGAGAUCGGGAGGAAUACCAGUGGCGAAGGCGGCCUUCUGGACUGACACUGACACUGAGGUGCGAAAGCGUGGGUAGCAAACAGGAUUAGAUACCCCAGUAGUC